rnacentral:rRNA from 1 species
CGGAUUGUAGUCUGCAACCCGACUACAUGAAGCUGGAAUCGCUAGUAAUCGCGAAUCAGAAUGUCGCGGUGAAUACGUUCCCGGGUCUUGUACACACCGCCCGUCACACCAUGGGAGUCGGAAAUGCCCGAAGUCAGUGACCCAACCGCAAGGAGGGAGCUGCCGAAGGUGGAGCCGGUAACUGGGGUGAAGUCGUAACAAGGUACC